rnacentral:rRNA from 1 species
GACGAACGCUGGCGGCGUGCUUAACACAUGCAAGUCGAACGGAAAGGCCCUGCUUUUGUGGGGUGCUCGAGUGGCGAACGGGUGAGUAACACGUGAGUAACCUGCCCUUGACUUUGGGAUAACUUCAGGAAACUGGGGCUAAUACCGGAUAGGAGCUCCUGCUGCAUGGUGGGGGUUGGAAAGUUUCGGCGGGUGGGGAUGGACUCGCGGCUUAUCAGCUUGUUGGUGGGGUAGUGGCUUACCAAGGCUUUGACGGGUAGCCGGCCUGAGAGGGUGACCGGGCACAUUGGGACUGAGAUACGGCCCAGACUCCUACGGGAGGCAGCAGUGGGGAAUAUUGCACAAUGGGCGGAAGCCUGAUGCAGCAACGCCGCGUGCGGGAUGACGGCCUUCGGGUUGUAAACCGCUUUCGCCUGUGACGAAGCGUGAGUGACGGUAAUGGGUAAAGAAGCACCGGCUAACUACGUG